rnacentral:rRNA from 1 species
UACGUAGGGCGCGAGCGUUAAUCGGAAUCACUGGGCGUAAAGCGCACGUAGGCGGAUUUGUAAGUCAGGGGUGAAAUCCCGGGGCUCAACCUCGGAACUGCCUUUGAUACUGCGAAUCUCGAGUCCGAUAGAGGUGGGUGGAAUUCCUAGUGUAGAGGUGAAAUUCGUAGAUAUUAGGAAGAACACCGGUGGCGAAGGCGGCCCACUGGAUCGGUACUGACGCUGAGGUGCGAAAGCGUGGGGAGCAAACAGG